CCUUCACUAACCCUUCUUCUUACAUCUUUUAUAGUAGAUAAUGGUGCUGGUACAGGAUGAACAGUUUACCCUCCUCUAGCAGGAGCUAUUGCACAUGGGGGUGCAUCUGUAGAUCUAGCUAUUUUUUCACUGCACUUAGCAGGUGUAUCAUCUAUUCUUGGUGCAGUGAAUUUCAUUACAACAGCAAUUAAUAUACGAUCAGAAAGUAUAACUUUAGAUCAAACACCUUUAUUUGUAUGAUCUGUAGCUAUUACAGCAUUACUUCUCCUUCUUUCACUUCCAGUUUUAGCAGGAGCUAUUACUAUAUUAUUAACAGAUCGAAAUUUAAAUACAUCAUUCUUUGACCCUGCAGGAGGGGGUGACCCAAUUCUAUAUCAACAUCUAUUUUGAUUCUUUGGACACCCAGAAGUUUAUAUUUUAAUUCUACCGGGGGUUCGGAAUUAUUUCACAUAUUGUAUGUCAAGAAAGAGGAAAAAUUGAAUCAUUUGGAACAUUAGGUAUAAUUUAUGCUAUACUAUCAAUUGGACUAAUAGGAUUUAUUGUAUGAGCACAUCAUAUAUUUACAGUAGGAAUGGAUGUUGACACACGAGCAUAUUUUACAUCAGCAACAAUAAUUAUUGCUGUACCUACAGGAAUUAAGGUAUUUAGAUGAUUAGCUACAUUAUAUGGAACUAAAUUCAAGUUCAAUCCACCAUUAUUAUGAGCUCUAGGAUUUAUUUUCCUAUUUACAAUUGGUGGAUUAACAGGAUUAGUAUUAGCAAAUUCAUCACUUGAUAUUGUAUUACAUGAUACAUAUUAUGUAGUAGCCCACUUUCAUUAUGUAUUAUCUAUAGGAGCAGUAUUUGCAAUUAUAGGAGGUGUCAUUCAAUGAUAUCCACUAUUUACAGGAUUAACUAUAAAUAAUACAUGAUUAAAAAUCCAAUUUACAAUUAUAUUCAUUGGAGUAAAUUUAACAUUCUUUCCUCAACACUUCCUAGGAUUAGCAGGAAUACCUCGACGAUACUCUGACUACCCAGACGCAUAUACAUCAUGAAACGUAGUAUCAAGAAUUGGGUCUACAAUUUCUAUUGUAGGAAUCAUUAUAUUCAUUGUAAUUAUAUGAGAAAGAAUGAUUACAAACCGAGCAAUUAUAUUUAGAGCUAACAUAAGAAGAUCAACAGAAUGACUACAAAAUAACCCUCCUGCAGAACAUAGUUACUCAGAAUUACCAUUAAUCUCUAGAU